rnacentral:lncRNA from 1 species
UGCCUUGUUUUCAUCAAGCCUUCAGUGUCGCUAUCUGAAAAAGAGAUACAAUUCCUCCGUUUGUCGCUGUAACUAUUGUUGUGUAUGUUUUUACACCUGUGCGGUUCUUCGAUAUGCACCACUGAAUGUUCUUUUUUGUCUCUUUUGCUUCCGCUCGUUCGGUAUAUAUUUAUCGGUUCGUGCGAAAAUAAAAAUUUAUAGUUGAAAGU